rnacentral:tRNA from 1 species
GGGCUGGGCUCAGUGGUAGAGCACUUGCCUAUCACAUAUGAGGUACUGAGUUCAAUACUCUGCACCACA